AGCUUACUUACUCGUUUGGGUGUGUUUCUUCUAUCAUUUUCUCGUUUCACCUCAGAACAGUUGCCUGCAUUGUUUCAAACCCAUGCCUGGACACAUCGUGGGAGCGUUUCAGAUUGAAAAGUGGCCUUACGGCGCCCCCUGCUGAUAGAGGUGUGAGAAGCUAAGCAGGUGUGGGCUUGGAUGGAUGACCUCCUGGGAAAACUUGAGUUGCUGCUGGGGGGGCGUUGCUGUGCAUCUCCCGGGUGGGUACUACACACUGGUUGAGGAGCAGUGGGCAGCUGCAGCACCCAGGGACCAACUCCAGUUCUUCUUUCCAUUGCCUCGCUCAGGGGCACAGACAGGAGUAUUAACCCUCACAUGCAUGUCUUUUUGAUGGUGGGAGGAAACCGGAGCACCCGGGGGAAACCCAUGCAGACAUGGGGAGAACAUGUAAACUCCACACAGAAAGGACCUGGGACGGCCUGGGGUCAUUGCAGAAUAUAUAUAGAGACAUGGAGAGUCAGUAUAAAUCAGAUGCAUUCUGCAUGCAAAAGCACAUAUUUGUGAUAUGAGGAUUCAUGAAUUGUGUUCUCUUUUUGCUGUUGUAUUUUUUAAUUCAGGGCAUUUUGGAAAAGAUUGGACCAGUCUAUAUGCUUGCUGAUGGCUUGCACUUGUUUUGGAAGUGUCUGCACAAUCAAUUAUAAAUACCAAACCCUUAACAGACUUGCAUUUUUAUCUAUGAUGUCACCAGUAAUAUGUGUUGUUGUCGUCAUGCCCAUAUGCGGCUAUUUUGUUCUGUAUGCUCUUUACACUCAUGCAGUACAGUAAAUGACAAUGGACCACAUCCU